rnacentral:misc_RNA from 1 species
UCUCCGUUGGUGAACCAGCGGAGGGAUCAUUACAAAGUUGCAAAACUCCCAAACCAUUGUGAACGUUACCUAUCCCGUUGCUUCGGCGGGCGGCCCGGGCCCCGCGCCCGGCGCCCCCCGCCCCCCCGUGGGCGCCCGCCGAGGUAAACCAAACCCUUGAAUUGCAUGGCCUCUCUGAGUCUUCUGUACUGAAUAAGUCAAAACUUUCAACAACGGAUCUCUUGGUUCUG